rnacentral:tRNA from 1 species
AAGAAAGAACGCAAGAACUGCUAACUCAUGCCUCCACGCUUAAACCCGUGGCUUUCUUA